ensembl:lncRNA
CCUCGGCAUUUGGAAAUUCCCAGGCUAGGGGUCGAAUCAGAGCUGCAGCUGCCGGCCGGAGCCACGGCCAUAGCAACGCGGGAUCCGAGGCGCAUCUGCCACCUACACCACAGCUCACGGCAACAACGGAACCUUAACACACUGGGUGAGGCCAGCGAUCGAACCCACAUCCUUGUGAUUCCUAGCCGGGUUUGUUAACUACUGAGCCACAGAGAGAACUCCCUGUUUGUUUGUUUGUUUGGGAUUGAAGUUAUCUUGUAUCCAAAAAAAGCAUGAUGUAGAGUGGACUUUUUUUUCCAAGCAAAUAAUGUAAAUAUGUCUCAUUUUAAACAGCCCCAAUGGCAAUCAUUCUUGGGUAUAAACAGUAUUUACCUCAAAUGCUCUGCUUGGGAUGCUUGAUCCUAACAACCGCCACAUGACAGGCUCCCUUGAGAACAGACGCUGGCAAAAGCCGAUCAGACGUUUAAGCAAAAUGUUGUGAAGAAGGUCCCUAGGCCUGGCUGCCUGCAGACUGGGCCCUGUGCCUGGAGAACAGCUUCCUGGGAGUGAGUCACGUUAUUACAAAAUCUAGGAGUUCUGGCGGUGGCCCAGCAGAGAUGAACCUGACUAGCAUCCAUGAGGACGCGGGUUUGAUCCCCGGCCUUGCUCAGCAGGUUAAGGAUCUGGUGUUGCCCCACUUGUGGCACAGGUCACAGAUGGAGAACAGAUUCAGUCCCCAGCCUGGGAACUUCCAUAAGCCACGGGGGAGGCUGAAAACAGAAAAAUCUGCAUGUGUGACAGCAUUGUGCCAAGAAGGGAGAAAUAUGAAAUACCACAGAGAUUCCUCAGCAGGACCUUCCAGGAACACCCACAGCCUCACGUCUCUACAGAGAAGAGCCCCUUCUCCUCAGAGCUGAGGGCCACACGGAAGGAGGGCUCUGGCCUCCCGGGAGGAGCCACAUAGAGGAAGGGACCCAGUGUCCUGCACAGAAGGGGACCUGAGGGAAUGGGGUUGUCACUACUCUGACUUAAUCCUGAGCUCAGAGGAAUUUGUGCCCAGGCACAACUCAAUCCUGACCCCUGAGCAGCUAAGGGCACCCUGGACACACUCACACAGAGGGCCCUGAGGGAACGGGGGACACAGAACGGGUGCCUGGCCUGGCCCUAAAGCAAGGGACAGUGCUCAGAGCAGGGGGCAGGAGCUGUCCCUGAGGGGCUCUUGGCAGCAGGUCACAUGCCGUGUCUGGGCCUGGACACCAGGGGGCGGUCGGGGUCUGAUCACCUGGGUCUCAGGGGGAUGAGAGCUGGGACCAGCCAACAGGAACUGCCUGGUGCCCUUUGUUCAGGGAUCCCAUCUGGGAGCUCCCCCUCUCUGGGCCCACCUGGCCAUGCCCCUGCCCACCCCCAGGCCACCCUCAGGCAGAGGGACCUGACCCAGGGCCCACUGAGGGGUCAGAGAGCCCAGGGAAUGGGGGUGGGGGUGUCGUGUCAUUUGCAUGAAGGGCUCUGCCCUCCCUCAGAAGUAUGAAGAGGGGCAGGACAGACUGGGGGUUGCUCUGCUUCAGCUGUGAGGCCACAGAAGGCAGCCCUCGGGGACAGUCUGCACCAUGGCCUGGUCCCCUCUGCUCCUCACACUCCUAGCACAUAGGACCCGAUCUAUGAAACAGAACCAGAUCCACAGACAGAAAGAGACUUGUGGUUGCCAAGGGGGUGUGGGGUGUGGGAGGGAUGUCCUGGGGGUCUGGGGGGAGCCGAUGCAAACUGUUGUACAUAGAACAGAUAAACGACAUGUCCUACUGCAUAGCGCGGUGAGCUAUAUUCAAUUAUCUUGAGACAAACUAUAAUGGGAAGGAACAUAAAAAAAUAUAAAUAUAUGUGUAACUGUAGCACUUUGCUGUAUGGCACAAAUUAGCAAAAUAUUGUAACUCAACUACACCAAUAAAAAUAAUAAAUUUAAACAAAUAAAAUAACAGUAAAGAAGAUAUAGCCGAAACUCAUUUCCUGAUUUUGCUUUUCCCCUACACUAUCAUCAAUAUAUUUGUAUAAUUGGAAUACGACUUAGUGGGAAUAUUUUCUUUCACAUGGGUUUGUUUCCUCUGAAACAAAGGAAAUAGUCAUGUGAACUUUAAGAAACAACUAAUGUACCAGGAAACCUAAUAUGGAUACAAAAUCAUAAUUUCAGAAGUUCCCGAUAUGCCUCAUCGGGGAAAGAUCAUCACAUAGUGUCCAUGAGGAUGCAGGUUCGAUCCCUGUCCUUGUUCUGUGGGUUAAGGGUCUGGUGUUGCCAGAAGCUGCAGUGUAGGUUGCACAGUCAGCUCCAAUUUGGUGUUGCCAUGGCUGUGGCUAGGGUGAACGGAGAUGGGCAUUUUGGAAAUAAGGUUGGUUUCCACAGAGACGAGAGUCCCAGUGCGACAGCAGCCCAGUCCCCAGGGUGCACCGAGAAAGGCCCUGUGACCCCGCUUUCCUGGGAGGAGCAUGAGCCAGGACUGCUGUCCAAGGGACCCCUCUGCAUGGGGGCUGGGGACAUGCCAGGGGCUGGAGGAGGGGGCCCGUGGGCAGCAGGGGGUGCCCACAGAGUCCUGAGAGUGGGUGCUGGGCCAGACAGCUGGGAGCCCCCAGGGUGCAGGGGGCUGGGCACACUGUCCUCACUGAGGUGGACCCUCCUCCCUGAGGCCUGGUCACCACCCGGGAGCUCCUGGCCAGGCUCCCUCACCCCCGUGGCUCAGAUCUGGGUUCCCCCCGCCCUGUCCCCUGUGGACUCUUGGCCUAGCCUAGGUCAGGAAGGGGCUGGUAGAAGGCGGGGAAUCAGAAUGAGCCCCAAGGAGGAGCAGGGCUCCUGGGAGAGUCUGCCCAGAGGACGAGCCCAGCCUGUGGGCAGGGGCCCCAGUGUAACCUGUGCAGUUAGGGGUGGGAAUGUGAGCAUCAGCCCAUUACCCACGCGACCGGCUGUGGCUGUUCUUAGGAGGCUUUGUUAUUUGUGGUGCUAAAUUUAUAAUUUUCAUUUACUUAAUAGCAACUAAAACCUGUAUAUUAGAAUAAAUGACUUUUGGUACCAGUGCCAGUAAUUCAUCUAGUAUUGGAAUAUGUUAAAAUUUUGUUUAGAGUAUUUUUAUAGAUAUUCAAUGAUAGUGGCUUUUAAUAUUCCAUAAAGGAAUUUUAUUCAUCAGGGGUAUUAUAAGACCUUAAAGUGCUUUUUCAAAGAACUAGGACUUCUUAUUUGCAUCGGUUUCACAUUUUUUGGUCUUUUUAGGGCCACAUCUAUCCGAUGUGGAAGUUCCCUGGCUAGGGGUCGAACUGGAGCUGCAGCUGCCCGCCACAGACACUGCCACACGGGAUCCAAGCCAUAUCUGGGAGACCUACACCACAGCUCAUGGCAUCGCCAGAUGUUGAACCCACGGAGCAAGGCCAGGAAUAGAACCCGUGUCCUCAUGGAUACUAGGCGGGUACGUUACUGCAGAGCCACACUGGGGACUCCAGAACUAGGAUAUUUUUAAACUCUUUCAAUGUUUUAUAAAAACAGAAAACCACAAGCAAGACUAUGGG